UACGUAGGGUGCGAGCGUUGUCCGGAAUUAUUGGGCGUAAAGAGCUUGUAGGCGGUCUGUCGCGUCUGCUGUGAAAAUCCGGGGCUCAACCCCGGACUUGCAGUGGGUACGGGCAGACUAGAGUGUGGUAGGGGAGACUGGAAUUCCUGGUGUAGCGGUGAAAUGCGCAGAUAUCAGGAGGAACACCGAUGGCGAAGGCAGGUCUCUGGGUCACUACUGACGCUGAGAAGCGAAAGCAUGGGGAGCGAACAGG
rnacentral:rRNA from 1 species